AUGGCCUGGACUCCUCUCCUCCUCUUGCUCCUCUCUCACUGCACAGGUUCCCUCUCCCAGCCUGUGCUGACUCAGCCUCCCUUCCUCUCUGCAUCUCCUGGAGCCACAGCCAGACUCACCUGCACCCUCAGCAGUGACAUCAGUGUUGUGGACUACUACAUACGUUGGUUCCAGCAGGAGCCAGGGAGCCCUCCCCGGUAUCUCCUGGCAUAUAAAUCAGACUCAGAGAAGCACCAGGGCUCCGGGGUCCCCAGUCGCUUCUCUGGAUCCAAGGACGCUUCGGCCAAUGCAGGGCUCCUGACCAUCUCUGGGCUGCAGCCUGAGGACGAGGCCGACUAUUACUGUGCUGUAUAUCACAGCAGUGGGAGCAGCUAUAGUGACACACAGUGGCUCAGAUGCCGAGGAAGUGAGACAGAAACCCCUGGGCCCAGAGGUUAUGCUCUCAAUCUCACUGAAGCUUCUGUGGGGGCCUCUGCAAGGUGGGCUCCUCUGCAGUCAGAAAUGUCCAUGGAAGGUGGGCGGAGCAGCACACAGUCAUGA